rnacentral:rRNA from 1 species
AUUGAACGCUGGCGGCAGGCCUAACACAUGCAAGUCGAGCGGAUGAAGGGAGCUUGCUCCUGGAUUCGGCGGCGGACGGGUGAGUAAUGCCUAGGAAUCUGCCUGGUAGUGGGGGACAACGUUUCGAAAGGAACGCUAAUACCGCAUACGUCCUACGGGAGAAAGCAGGGGACCUUCGGGCCUUGCGCUAUCAGAUGAGCCUAGGUCGGAUUAGCUAGUUGGGGAGGUAAUGUCUCACCAAGGCGACGAUCCGUAACUGGUCUGAGAGGAUGAUCAGUCACGAUGGAAGUGAGACACGGUCCGGACUCCUACGGGAGGCAGAAGUGGGGAAUAUUGGACAAUGGGGGAAAGCGUGAUCCAGCCAUGCUGCGUGUGUGAAGAAGGUCUUCGGAUUGUAAAGCACUUUAAGUUGGGAGGAAGGGUUGUAGAUUAAUACUCUGCAAUUUUGACGUUACCGACAGAAUAAGCACCGGCUAACUCUGUGCCAGCCGCCGCAGUAA